rnacentral:rRNA from 1 species
GACGAACGCUGGCGGCGUGCUUAACACAUGCCAGUCGAACGGAAAGGCCUCUUUCGGGGGGUACUCGAGUGGCGAACGGGUAAGUAACACGUGAGUAACCUGCCCUUGACUUUGGGAUAACUUCAGGAAACUGGGGCUAAUACCGGAUAGGAGCUCCUGCUGCAUGGUGGGGGUUGGAAAGUUUCGGCGGUUGGGGAUGGACUCGCGGCUUAUCAGCUUGUUGGUGGGGUAGUGGCUUACCAAGGCUUUGACGGGUAGCCGGCCUGAGAGGGUGACCGGCCACAUUGGGACUGAGAUACGGCCCAGACUCCUACGGGAGGCAGCAGUGGGGAAUAUUGCACAAUGGGUGGAAGCCUGAUGCAGCAACGCCGUGUGCGGGAUGACGGCCUUCGGGUUGUAAACCGCUUUCGCUCAUAACGAAGCUUUGUGUGACGGUAGUGGGUAAAGAAGCACCGGCUAACUACGUG